rnacentral:pre_miRNA from 1 species
AGUGGGAUAGCUGGAUCAAAUGGUGGUUCCAUUCCAACUUUUCUAAGGAAUCUCCAUACUGCUUUCCAAAGUGAUUGCGCCAAUUUGCAAUCCCACCAGCAAU